rnacentral:rRNA from 1 species
GAUGAACGCUGGCGGCGUGCCUAAUACAUGCAAGUCGAGCGAACGGACGAGAAGCUUGCUUCUCUGAUGUUAGCGGCGGACGGGUGAGUAACACGUGGAUAACCUACCUAUAAGACUGGGAUAACUUCGGGAAACCGGAGCUAAUACCGGAUGAUAUUUUGAACCGCAUGGUUCAAAAGUGAAAGACGGUCUUGCUGUCACUUAUAGAUGGAUCCGCGCUGCAUUAGCUAGUUGGUAAGGUAACGGCUUACCAAGGCAACGAUGCAUAGCCGACCCGAGGGGGUGAUCGGCCACACUGGAACUGAGACACGGUCCAGACUCCUACGGGAGGCAGCAGUAGGGAAUCUUCCGCAAUGGGCGAAAGCCUGACGGAGCAACGCCGCGUGAGUGAUGAAGGUCUUCGGAUCGUAAAACUCUGUUAUUAGGGAAGAACAUAUGUGUAAGUAACUGUGCACAUCUUGACGGUACCUAAUCAGAAAGCCACGGCUAACUACGUG